ACCCUGCUGACGAGUCCCUAACAGGACGAAAUGCGUGUUCUGAAU
rnacentral:hammerhead_ribozyme from 1 species